CAUGCAAGAAAAACGGUAACAGGAAGAAGCUUGCUUCUUUGCUGACGAGUGUCUUACCGGUGAGUAAUGUCUGGGAAACUGCCUGAUGGAGGGGGAUAACUACUGGAAACGGUAGCUAAUACCGCAUAACGUCGCAAGACCAAAGAGGGGGACCUUCGGGCCUCUUGCCAUCGGAUGUGCCCAGAUGGGAUUAGCUAGUAGGUGGGGUAACGGCUCACCUAGGCGACGAUCCCUAGCUGGUCUGAGAGGAUGACCAGCCACACUGGAACUGAGACACGGUCCAGACUCCUACGGGAGGCAGCAGUGGG
rnacentral:rRNA from 1 species